AGAAGGAGCAGGACUGGAUCCAAAUCCAACAUACUUGCCACCUUGCGAUGGCGGGAUCCCAUCGGGCUUGGAUUCGUUCUCCGCCAUUCUUCUGGCAAAGAAAGUUUCCUUACUAGCAGCAGACGCCUCCAAUUGUGAUCUAGUAUAAAUAUCCUCCGUCGAUUUGGACCUCGACCGACCAUCAAUCAUUCCUCCGCCGCCGCCAUUAGCCCUGAAAUCGCCAACCGUAUGAGUCCUCCUCAUGUCAUCAGAAGAUCUAAAUGCAUCAUCAUUAUCCCAGCUAUCCCAUCCACUAUUAUCCUUCGGCGACGAUUGAGAAAGCGGCGGCCUUCUUCCGUUGAGGUUGUCGUUCCCACCGGCCUCCAUCUUCUUGAUCUGGAUCUCGGACCAAGAGUCCAUGGUGACCGAUCGGACGAAGGAGAUGUGGACACCGAGGCCGCGGUGCUUACCGGAGCACUCGAGGCACAUGAAGAUGCCGUAGGAGACGGAGGCCCAUUGGGGAUUCUUCUGGGAGCAGGCCACGCAGGUCUUGUUCGCAGGUUGCGAUUGGAGACCCCGGGAUCUUGUUCGCAGGUUGCGAUUGGAGAUCCCGGAGGCGUCGAGCUGCCGCCAUUGAAUCCCGAUGGGAACGGAUUUCUCAAAGCCGAAUCGAAAGGAAUUGGAAAGACCCCGCAGAAAUUAUGAGAUUUGGAUUUGGAUUCAUGUCAUAAAGGGCCGGACAAAUGGUAAAGUUUCAGAAAAACCUAUCGGGUUUCAG
rnacentral:lncRNA from 1 species